CAGUGAACAGCACAUAGGGGGUCAGGUGGGGUGUAUCCUCAGUUGAACAGCCAGUAAACAAGUUGAGAGUCGAAAGUCACUGUCCUAUUUCUAUCUGGGAAACACAGCCAAGGAACGGCUUGGAAUAUUAGCGGGAAAGAAGACCCUUUUGAGCUUGACUCUAUCUGGCAGUGUAAGGAGACAUAAGAGGUGUAGAAUAAGUGGGAGAUAUUAGACCUCGGUUUGGUAUCGUCAAUGAAAUACCACUACUCUUAUUGUUUCCUUACUUACUUGAUUAAAUGGAACGUGUAUCAUUUCCUAGCCAUUAUACGGAUAUAUUUAUUAUAUCUUAUGGUAUUGGGUUUUGAUGCAAGCUUCUUGAUCAAAGUAUCACGAGUUUGUUAUAUAAUCGCAAACAAAUUCUUUAAUAAAACGAUGCAUUUAUGUAUUUUUGAUUUGAAAAUUUGGUAUAACUCCAAUUACUCAGGUAUGAUCCAAUUCAAGGACAUUGCCAGGUAGGGAGUUUGACUGGGGCGGUACAUCUCUCAAAUAAUAACGGAGGUGUCCCAAGGCCAGCUCAGUGCGGACAGAAACCACACAUAGAGCAAAAGGGCAAAUGCUGACUUGAUCUCGGUGUUCAGUACACACAGGGACAGCAAAAGCUCGGCCUAUCGAUCCUUUUGGUUUAAAGAGUUUUUAACAAGAGGUGUCAGAAAAGUUACCAUAGGGAUAACUGGCUUGUGGCGGCCAAGCGUUCAUAGCGACGUCGCUUUUUGAUCCUUCGAUGUCGGCUCUUCCUAUCAUUGUGAAGCAAAAUUCACCAAGCGUUGGAUUGUUCACCCAUGCAAGGGAACGUGAGCUGGGUUUAGACCGUCGUGAGACAGGUUAGUUUUACCCUACUAAUGACAAAACGUUGUUGCGACAGCAUUCCUGCGUAGUACGAGAGGAACCGCAGGUACGCACCAAUGGCCACAAUACUUGUUCGAGCGAACAGUGGUAUGACGCUACGUCCGUUGGAUUAUGCCUGUGGGAUCCCC
rnacentral:ncRNA from 1 species